GAGGGGCGGGGGAGAGUUCGUAUUUUGUAGCGCCGACCGCUGUUCCUUUUUUCUCUGUCUGCACAUUUAUUUCCACCUUCACCUUCCUUUGGCCAAACUGGAUUUUACUCCGCGAGCAACUCUGAAGCCACUUACUUUCCAUUCGUCCUGUCUUAUGAACCCGCUUCCUUGUGAGUUGACCUUCGAGUGCCACACCCCUGGUGGCUGCCUGUGUCUUGUCAGUGCUUCCUCAGGCCUGCUCAGCCCUGUCCCUUCAUCCCUGUUUGCUCCCAGGACUCCCCGUCGGCCUAGGCCCAGCCUGCGCCUGCUGCCCUGAGUCCUGAUGGUUUUGACGGGAUCCAAGCCAUGGGCCGCCCUGUCAUUGUCCUGUGGAGCCUCCUGUCUCUGGUGCCAGCUCUGCGCUCACCUUCCAGGGCCCAUUAGCUGUGUCUGCUCUUCCCUGAUGUGCAGCCCUGUGCCGUCUGCCCGUACCAGGCCGCAGGCCCCAGGGCGGCCCUGUUCUUGUUCCAACCAUGGCUUUCUGAUCACAGAUGCAAAGAUCCACCCUGAGGUUGGAGGCGUGCACUGAAGAAGCCCUACCCGGUUGGUGCAUUUCCUGCCCUGACCUUGUCCAGGACUCCCUGUGUGAAAUCUAAGGAGGUAAGGAGUGCUAGGUGGCCUGGAUGUGCAUGUCCCCAAGGACAUUGGGAGGAGAGGGAACCACCAUCUGCUGGGCACCUCUUGGGAUUUGGGCUCUGGCACGGACAGCUGCAUGUUGGCUAAGGUCUGGUGGUGGACCUGAGAUUUGGGCUGCCUAUCACGCCUUGCAGGUGGCCUAGAUCUCCACUCACAGGGUGCCUGAGCCUGGGCACGUUCUAAUGAACAGAAACUUACAUGGUUCACAGUUCUGGAGGCUGGGCAGUCCAAGAUGCAGGCGGCUGCAUCUGAUGAGGACCCUCCUUCUGUGUUAUAACAAAGUGGAGGGCAUCACAGGAGGGGGCAUCCUCAAUUUUAUAACAAGCUCACUCUCUCAGGACCCACAUUAACCUGUCAGGAGGGCUCUAACCUUAGAGCCUGUGUGCAUCUGAAAUGCUCCCCUUCUUGCCCUGUUGCAUUGGGGGUCAUGUUCUAAUCUCAUGGACUCUGGGCACACAGUUGGCCACAGCGGCCUGUGGGAGGGUACCCUGACCCCUUGUAACCCACAGAUCUGGACCCAGCAUGGCAUUGAGCACACAACUCAACCCAGAGGGACUUGAUCUGGGUGACUGUGUGAGAGGCCACACAGCUGGCUGCUCAUGGCCAGAAAGCCAAUCGGCAGUCCCCGGGGCUGGACUGACCGUGCAGCCUUAGCCAGGUCCCCAGCCACUCUGUGGUCGAGACUCACGCCAGCUGGACUCACAGUACUGAUGUAUCCAUCAGAUGUCAGCUCAUUAGUAUUAUUGUUUUUAUUGUUCUACCAUGUCAGUGAGGUGUGAUUCCUAGGCCGAGGGUACAUGUGUUUGUUGUGUACAACCUGAUGAGUUUGGAGAUGAGUAUAUUUCUGUGAAACCAUCACCACAAUCUAUGCUGCAAACAUUUCCACAUCCCUGGACGUUUACUCCUGCUCACCGUCAUCAUCGGAUGGUAUCACCUUAUGUUCUAUUUUUUGUGAUAAGGGCACUUAAUCUAAGACUACCCCUUUAACAAACUUUUAAGUAUAUAAUAAAGUAUAGAUAACUACAGGCGCCAUGCUGUACAGAAGUUCUCUAGGACUUGCUCAUCUUUUGCUUUUUCUUUUAGGGACAGAAGACUCCAUUGGGACAUAAUUAUAAAUGCAUGGAAUAUAUCUUGUUCUAAUUCAGUCCCCAGUACCUCUCCUUCCCCUUACCUUCCCGAUUUGAUCUUUCUGUCAUUUACCCAUAGUUACUUUUUAAAAAGUUAAUUUCUUAUGGACGUCCAUGAUGGUGAGAUUCAGGGUGGUGCAUUCAUGUAUGUACGUAGGAAAGAUAUGUCCGAUUCAGUCCACUGUCUUUCCUUUUCCCAUCCCCCCCUUCGUUUCCCUUUGUCUACUCCUCUGAACUUCUGUUCCCACACCCACCUCCCUUAUGUGGUUAACUUCCGCAUAAUCAGAGAAAACAUUCAACCUUUGGUUUGUUGGGAUUGGCUUAUUUCACUUAGCGUGGUAGUCUCCAGACCCAUCCAUUUACUGGCAAAUGUCAUAGACUCAUUCUUUAUGGCUGAGUAAGACGCUAUUGUAUAUAUACACCACAUUUUCUUUAUCCCAUAGGACUUAGUCAUCGUUCAUAACUGAAACUGUGUACCUUUUUUUUUUUUACAGAGAGAGAGAGAGAGAGAGAGAGAGAGAGAGAGAGGAGAGAGAGAGAGAGAGAAUUUGUGGUGCUGAGGAUCGAACUCGGGCCGCAUGCAUGCCAGGCGAGCACGCUACUGCUUGAGUCACAUCCCCAGCCCUGAAACUGUGUACCCUUUGACCAAUAGCUCCUUUUCCGCCUCUCCUCAUUCCCAACAGCCAGUAUUCUACUCUUUCUCUCUGCGUUGGACUAUUUAUUUUUUCCCAGAUUUAUUAGAAAACAAAAAUUAUAUAAAUUUAAGUUAUAAAAUCUGAUGUUUUGAUAAUGAAAUGGUCAUGACAAUCCAACUAAUUAACUCAUUCAUCACCUCACCUAACCUCCCAUAUUAUGUUUGUGUGUGUGUGUGUGUUGGGGGUGGGUGAGAACACUGAAGACCCACCAUCUUAGCAGAGGUCAAGCACACAUGUGUUAUCAUCACCAGUAGCCACCAAGCCGAGCAUUGGUUCUCUAGAACUGACUCAUCCUGCAUCAUGGAAACUGGGACCAGCAGCCCACCCUGCCCCAGCCUUGGAAGCCACCAUUCUGCUCUCUGCUUCUAGGAGUCAACCCUUUCAGGUCCACACGAGUGAGCCCAGUGGUGUUUGUCCUUCUGUUUCUGCCAUUUCCCUUGGCACAACAUCCUCCAGGUUCACCCACAUCGUCACAAGCGAUGGGACUCCCUUCCCUUUGGAAGAGGCUGUGUGCAUGUGUACAUUCGCUGUUUCCUUUAUCCACUCGUCUGUCAGUGGACGCUAGUUGUUCUUGCUCUUGUGAAUGAUGCUGCCUGGUAACUGGCAGCUCUUCAAGGCCCUGAUUUCAAGUUCUUUGAAUAUAUACGCACAAGUGAAUUUCUGGAUCACAUGGCAGUUCUGUUUUCCGUUUUCAGGGAACCUCUAUAGGGUUUUCCGUAGUGGCCACCUGAUUUACAUUCCCACCAACAGGACGCAGGUGUGGCCUUUUCCCCAUCCUUGCUAACAUUUGAUAUCCUUUUAUUCAACAUUUUUAGUUAUAGAUGAACACAAUACCCUUGUUUUACUUGUUGAUUUUUUUUUAUGUGGUGUUGAGGAUCAAACCCAGUUCUUCACACUUGCUUGGCAAGCGCCCUGCCUCUGAGCCUCAACCACAGUCUUAUUGUCUUUUUUUUUUUUUUUAAACAGCAAUCAUCCUACCAGGCACGGUGUGAUAGCAGACUAUGGUUUUGAUUUGCAUUUCCUCUGAUGAUUAGUGUUGUUCGGUACAUUUUCAUAUAUCUAGUGGUCUUCCCUGAAGAAAUGUGUAUUCAGAGUAUUUGCCCACUUUUCAAUUGAGUUAUUAUUAUUAUUGCUAUUAAGUUGUAGGACUUCCUUCUAUAUUUUGGGUGUGAACUUUGUAUCAAAUAUGUGGUUUACAGAUAUUUUCUGCCAUUCUAAAGAUGUCCUUUCAUUUUUUUUAAAAAACUUUAUUUGUUCUCUUUAGUUAUACAAGACAGUAGAAUGUAUUUUUGACAUAGAAUCCAUACCUGGAAUAUACCUUCCCAUUCUGUGUUUGUACAUGAGUGGAGUUACACUGGUUGUAUAGUCAUAUAGAACAUAGAAAAAUAUGUCCGAUUCAUUAUAAAUGUCUUUCCCAUUCCCAUCCCCCUCCCCUCCCUUCAUUCCUCUUUGUCUAAUGCAGUGAACUUCCAUCACCCGACCCCAUUGCUUAUUGUGAGUCAGCAACUGCAUAUCAGAGGGACUAUUUGGCUUUGGUUUUUUGGGAUUCGUUUAUUUCACUUAACAUGAUAGUCUCCAGUUUCAUCCAUCUACCAGCAAAUGCCAUAAUUACUUUUCUCUUUAUGACUGAGUAAUAUUCCAUUGUAUACAACACAUUUUUUGAUCUAUUCAUCUGUUGAAGGGCACCUAUGUUGGUUCCAUAACUUAGCUAUUGUGAAUUGAGCUGCUAUAUAUACUGAUGUGGCUGCCUCACUAUAAUAUGCUCUUUUUAAGUCCUCUGGGUAUAAACCAAGGAGUGGGAUAGCUGGGUCAAAUGGUGGUUCCAUUCCCAGUUUUCUGAGGAAUCCAUACUGCUUUCCAGAGUGUUGCACCAAUUUGCAGUCCCACCAGCAAUGUCUGAGUGUGCCUUUUCCCCUCAUCCUCGCUAGCAUUUGUUGUUGCUUGUAUUCUGGAUGAUUGCCGUUCUGACUGGAGUGAGAUGAAACCUCAGUGUAGUUUAAUUUGCAUUUCUCUAAUUGAUGCCCUUUAUUUAGUUUUCUAUUUCCUUUGCUGAGUCGAAGCUUUUUAGUUUGGCACAAUCUCAUUUGUCUACUUUUGGGUCUUCACUCUUUUUUUUUUUUCUCUUGCUCUGUAGUUCUGUUCAAAUCAGUUGUUUCUUUAUGGAUUUGCUGUCUGGAAGGUCCAUCUAUUACAGUAUGGUCUUGAAUAGUCUAACAAGUUUGUCAAAUUAGUUUAUGUUUUAAAAAACCAACUCUUGGCUUUGGUGUUUUUUCUAUUUUUCUCUUUUCUGUCUUAUUUAUGUCUGCUCUGAUCUUAUAACUUCCACCGUUCUGCUAACUUGGUUUGUUUUUAUUCUACUCACUUGAGGUGUGACAUUAGGUCGUUUAGUUGAGAGCUUCCCCACGAUAAUGUUUUUGCUGUUCCCGUGUUUUGGUGUGUUGUGUUUUAGUUUAAGUUGUCCUGAGAUGUUUUAUAAUUUCUCCUUUGAGUUCUUCUUCGACUCACUGAUUGUUCAAGAGUAUUGUUUAAUUUUUAAGUUCUUGUAAAUUUUCCUGUUUGACUUGGAUUAUUAACUUCUAAUUUAAUUUCAUCGUUGGAAAAGGAACGAUUUCGACUUUCUUAAACAUUUUAAGAUUUUUUUGGUGACCUAGCACGUCAUCCACACUGGAGGAUGUUCUGGGGGCUCUUGAGAAGGAUGCUGCCCCCGUGUUGGGUGGAAUGUUCUCGGAUGUUCUGCAGAGUUGCUUAGUCUCUUGUUCCCUACUGCUCUUCGGCCUGGACAGCAGACUCGUCACUGAGAGCGCUGAGUCUUCCUGCAGUGACUGCAUGGCUGCUGUUAAUCUCUUCAGAUCUGUAAAUAUUUACUCGACAUCCUUAGGUACUAAGACUUUGGACGCAUACAUGUGAAUUAUUGCUAGAUCUUCCUGUUGAAUUGAGCCUUUGGUUAUUAUUUAAGGUCUUCUUUGUUGUGGGGUUCUUGACUGAAAGUGUUUGAUUGAUGUAAAUACAGCUACUCUUGCUUUCUUUUGGUUUCCAUUUGAAUGAACUCCCUUUUUAUAUCCCUUCGCUUUCAGCGUGUAUGUGCCUUCACUCUAGAGUACGUGUCUUUUAGACAGUGUGUAGCUGCAGCUUCAAAAAAUCCACUCAGCCACUCUGCUUGUUUUGAUUGGUGGGUUAAUCCAUUCAUAUUUGAAGUAACUAUUCAUGAUUCAGGACUGACUGUUGCCAUUUUGUUCACUGUUUUCUGUUUUGAACUUCUUUCAUUUUUGUUUCUCUCUUCCUCUCUGUUGUCCACCUUUGUGAUGUGAUUUUUUUUGGGGGGGGCGGGUACUGGGGAUUGAACUCAGGGGCACUCGACCACUGAGCCACGUCCCCAGCCCUGUUUUGUAUUUUAUUUAGGGUCUCAGUUGCUUAGUGCCUCGUUGUUGCUGAGGCUGGCUUUGAAUCGUGAUCCUCCUGCCUCAGCCUCCUGAGCUGCUGGGAGUGAUUUGAUAUUUUUGAGGUGACAUGCUUUGUGAUAAUUUUUUUUUUUUACUUUUUUGUAGGUUUUUUUUCUUUGUGGUGACCAUGAAGUUUGCAUAAAACCUUUUACAGUCAGAACAGUCUGCUAUAAACUGACACUGCCCUAAUUUCAAUUGCAUGCAAUUUGUUUAUAUUGUGUAUCUAUUCACAAAUUAUAGCUAUCUGUCCUUUUUCUUUUUUUUAAAUAUUUUUUUUAGUUGUAGAUGGACACAAUCCCUUCAUUUCACUUACUUGUUUUUAUGUGGUGCUGAGGAUAACCCAGGGCCUCAUCCGUGCCAGGCAGGCACGCUACCACUGAGCCCCAGCCCCAGCCCAGAAAUCACAACUGUUCUUAAUGCUUUGUCUUUUAACUUUCCUAUGAGGGUUAAAAGUGAUUAAGCACCACCGACCACCGAUUAAAGUGUUGUAUCACUCUGUUGUCUGCAUAUUUACCUUUGCCAGUGAGAUGGAUAAUUCCAUAUGCUUUUGUAUGGCUACCUAGUAUUCUUUCAGGAAAAAGUCUCUGUAGCACUGAUUAUAAGGCAGGUCUAGGGGUGACAAACCCCCUCCAUUUAUUUCUUUUUUGUUUUUAAAGGCUAACCUGCUGUGUGGCGUUCUUGGGUGACAGUUCUUUCUUUCUGCAUGUUGAACACACCGUCUCGCUCUAUGCUGGGCUCAGGGUUUCUGCUGAGAACCUGUUGACAGUCUCAUGGGGACCACUUUGAUGCGUUGAGUCACCCUUUCGCUGCCUCCAACAUUUCUUUGGCUUUUGAGAAUUUGAGCAUGAUGCACCUCAGGGCAGACCUCUUAGGUCUGGCCUGUGUGGUGUCCUUUGUCCUUCAUGAAUCUGUAUGGACAUAUUCCCCUGACAGUGUCCAAUAAGUCCCAUAGUUUUCUUCACUUUUCUCAUUCUUUUUUCUAUUACCUUCUCUCCAUGGAUAACUGAAGAUGACCUCUUUGAGACCACUGUUUAUUUCUUCUGCUUGCUGUAGCCUCUGUUGAUGUUCUCCCGACCUUACAGAGUUGAGCUGGCGGGCGAGAUCCACCACGUGCUGUCUGUAGGGGCCUGCGGGCUGUGGUCUGUGGGAGCUUGCAGGGCACCAUCUGCAGGGGCACACACAGGCCAGGGGUCUGUGGGUGGGCCAGCUGGUUGUUGGGGUCCAUCGAUGGGCUGGCUGGUGUUUGUGGGUAGGCCAGCUGGCUGGUAAUGUCUGUAUAUAAGCUUUCUGGGGAAAAAUUAUAUAUUUUUUGGAUAUUUCUGCCUUAACAUGAAUGUGCAUGAUUGCUAUUGAGGUUGGACAUCUUUUUAAAUUUACUUUCCAUUUAUAUUUCUUCUCUGAAAUAUCUGCUCACAUUCACUCCCAAAUUUUCUGUUGGAUUUUUGCUCCUUUUGAAUGUGUAGGUGUUCUUUGUUUUUUCUUUACAUUAAUAGUUUUGUUAUUACAUAUGCAGCAAAUACUUUCUAUCAAUCUGUCAAUGAUCUUUUAACUUUGUUUAUGAAGCCCAUGAUACAAGAUUUUUAUGUUAUGUGAUUGAAUUUGUCAAUCUUUUUUUCCCCCAUCAAUUUAAAAAUGUUUUUUGUAUAUAGUUGUUCCUUAGUAUCCAUGGGGUUUGGUUCUAGAGUGCCUCAUGCAUAUAUUGGUAAGUGCUUUAAUCUUUUAUGUAAAAUAGCACAAUUAUUUGCAUAUAACUUAUGUAAUUCUCCCAUAGACUUUAAAUAAUUUCUGGAUUACAUAUGAUAUUCCAUAAAUUAUUAAUGUUACAUAUGUAGUUGUUAUUCUAUAUUCUUUAGGAAGUUAUGACAAGAAAAAAAAUUCUGUACAUGUUCAUUACGGAUGCAGCAAUUAGAGGCCUAACUACAUUGUACACAUCAGCAAGGACAUCAUUUUGGGGGUGGGUGAGUACCAGGGAUUGAACCAGGGGCCACAUCCACUGAGCCACAUCCUCAGCCCUUUUAAAAUUUUUUAUUUUGAGAUAGGGUCUUGCCAAGUUGCUGAGGAUGGCUUUGAACUUGUCAUCCUCUGGCCUCAGUCUCCCGAGCCACUGGGAUUACAGGCAUGUGCCACCACAUCUGGCAAGAACACUGUUUAAAUUUUUUUUAUUUAUUUACUUAUUCUCAUUAGGUAUAUAUGACAGCAGAGUGCAUUUUGAUUCAUUGUACACAAUUGCAGCACAACUUUUCAUUUCUCUGGUUGUACGCAAUGUAGUGACGCAUCAUAUGUGCAGUCAUACAUGUACCUAGGGUAGUGAUGUCCAUCUCAUUCCACCAUCUUUCCUGCCCCCAGAACAUCAUUUUUGAUUCACAGUUGGUUGAAUCUGUGAAUGUGGAACCCACAGAUAUAGAUGUUGAUGUAUUUUGUUUUGAAACUUUUAGUAUUAAAAUAUUCAUUUUGAAUUACUUAAAUUUCAUUUUUCUAUGGCAUGAGGUAGGGUUCAACAUUAAGAAAUAAUUUCUAAGUUUUUAUACCAUUUAUUGACGGGGUCAGGGUUUUCUUACUGAUUGGAAAUCUCUCUUGCUCUGGUUACAUACAAUGUAGAGUAUAUUAUGUGUACAUAUGUGCAGUCAUACAUGUACCUAUUGCCGGAUAACAAAUGACUCUAGACUUUGUGGCAUAGAACAACUAUCACUUUAUUAUGCUCAUGAAUUCUGUAGAUUGAGAAUUUGGGUGGAAUGUGGAUCAUUGGUCUCUGCUCCACAAUGGCUGGGGACACCUGAAUGGCUGGGGUGACGUCAGCAGUGGAGGGCUGGAAUCACCUUAGACUGGGAUGACUCCAAAGUUGGGCUCAGCUGGAGACAGUCCCUGGAGCACUAUACUGGGCCUCUGUGAGGCUGUGUGGAGGCCUCGGGGUGGCUCGACUUCUGGAUGGGAGCUCAGGACACUAGAUGUGAAUGCGCCACAGAAGGAGGAGGAACCCGCGUGGCCUUCUCUGACCUCACAUCGGAAGUCACGUGGCAGCACAUUCACAUGCCUGCCCAGAUUCAAAGAGAGCGAAUCUAGACCCCACUUAUCAAUGGAAGAAGUGUCAGUGGAUUUGUAGCCAUGCUUUAAAACUAUUUCUUUAUCUCUCGCCAUGUUUUAAAAUUCCAUUCAUAAUAAAUCUGCUUUUUAGAGUCUAAUGAAUUCCAUGGGUCUAUUUGUUUAAUACUGCACAAAUAUCUCAUUGCUUUUAUCUUUAUAAAUCAUCAUAUUUUGACAUUUGACAGGGCAAGUCCUCCU
rnacentral:lncRNA from 1 species